rnacentral:rRNA from 1 species
UACGUAGGGUGCGAGCGUUAAUCGGAAUUACUGGGCGUAAAGCGAGUGUAGGCGGUUUGGUAAGUCGGAUGUGAAAGCCCCGGGCUCAACCCGGGAAGUGCACUCGAUACUGCCAAGCUAGAGUAUCGGAGAGGUUGGUGGAAUUCUCGGUGUAGAGGUGAAAUUCGUAGAUAUCGAGAGGAACACCGGUGGCGAAGGCGGCCAACUGGACGAAUACUGACGCUGAGACUCGAAAGCGUGGGGAGCAAACAGG